rnacentral:lncRNA from 10 species
CGGGCAUGGUGACGCAUGCCCGUCAUCUCAGCUACUUGGGUGGCUGGGGCACAAGAACUGCUUGAACCCAAGAGGCAAGCGGUCAGCAAAAAUCGUGCCACUGCACUCCAGCCUAGGUGACAGAGUGAGACUUUGUCUCAAAAAAAUAAUAACUUCAAGAUUUGAGCCCAAGUGACUAUAAAAACGUACUAGGGGAGCAACACAGUAAAAUUAGUUUGAGCAUGAAUUUUGAGACAAGGAAGAUAUCAAAGUACAAAUAUAUAACUGGACAAUGAAGCUGUCACUAAAACAAUGUAACUAAAAAAAAUAGGUCAUGUUAGAAAAGUAGAUCUAAUACAGGUGACAGUUUCAAGUUAGGAGGGAAUAAAUUCUAACAAGAAAAAUGGGAAAGUAUUACCAAAACAGAGCUAUCAUCUUGUGGAAGGACGAACUUGAGUUCAUGAAAGCUGCCUCUGCAUUUCAAGUGGAUGCUUGUCUGAAGCAAACUAGGCUAACUUGUUAUCCAAAAGGGAAGAGCUGUGUGUCAUCUCAGAGUCAUAGUUGUACAAACUAAGUGCUGACUGUGGCUCCUGUCAAGAGGUUUGAUGGAAAGGCUCCCUGUAAUAACAAGGAUCUCAGAUCAUUUUGACUUAUCCUGCAAAACCCAACCUAGAUGUCAUCCCUUCCACCCACUCCUUCUCCC